rnacentral:rRNA from 1 species
UAGCCUUGACAUACUACAGAAUUUGACAGAGAUGUUGGAGUGCCUUCGGGAGCUGUAAUACAGGUGCUGCACGGCUGUCGUCAGCUCGUGUCGUGAGAUGUUGGGUUAAGUCCCGCAACGAGCGCAACCCUCGUCCUUAGUUACUAACGGUUCGGCCGAGGACUCUAAGGAGACUGCCUUCGUAAGGAGGAGGAAGGUGAGGACGACGUCAAGUCAUCAUGGCCCUUACGGCUAGGGCAACACACGUGCUACAAUGGUUAGGACAAUGAGAAGCGAUACCGCGAGGUGGAGCAAAUCUAUAAACCUAAUCUCAGUUCGGAUAGCAGUCUGCAACUCGACUGCUUGAAGCUGGAAUCACUAGUAAUCGUAAAUCAGCUAUGUUACGGUGAAUACGUUACCGGGUC